rnacentral:rRNA from 1 species
UACGGGGGGAGCAAGCGUUGUUCGGAUUUACUGGGCGUAAAGGGCGCGUAGGCGGCCACCGCAAGUCGACUGUGAAAUCUCCGGGCUUAACCCGGAAAGGUCAGCCGAUACUGCGGGGCUAGAGUGCAGAAGGGGCAACCGGAAUUCUCGGUGUAGCGGUGAAAUGCGUAGAUAUCGAGAGGAACACCUGCGGCGAAGGCGGGUUGCUGGGCUGACACUGACGCUGAGGCGCGAAAGCUAGGGGAGCGAACGGG